CAUUUUUUGUUUGUUCAUUUAUUUUUACAGGUUCGAAUGCAAGCACUGAAAUGUUUCUCAGUUUUAGCUUUUGAAAACCCCCAGGUAUCGAUGACCCUGGUAAAUGGUAGGCUGGAGCUUUCAGUGGCACCUACAUGAUUUAAUUGAUGAACUUGGUAGAUUUAAAGAAUUUCCUUAAUCAUUGUUGUUUGUUUUAUUUCUAGUUUUGGUUGAUGGAGAAUUGUUACCACAGAUUUUUGUGAAGAUGUUACAGAGGGAUAAGCCUAUUGAGAUGCAGCUCACAUCAGCAAAAUGUUUAACUUACAUGUGUAGAGCUGGAGCAAUUCGGACAGAUGAUAACUGUAUUGUAUUAAAGACAUUACCUUGUUUGGUUCGAAUGUGCAGUAAGGAGAGAUUACUAGAGGAGAGAGUUGAAGGAGCUGAGACACUUGCCUAUCUGAUUGAACCAGAUGUUGAGCUACAGAGAAUCGCUAGUAUAACUGAUCACCUCAUUGCCAUGCUUGCUGAUUAUUUCAAGUAUCCCAGCUCAGUGAGUGCCAUCACUGAUAUUAAAAGGCUUGAUCAUGAUUUAAAACAUGCUCACGAACUCCGCCAGGCUGCAUUCAAGCUCUAUGCCUCUCUUGGAGCAAAUGAUGAAGACAUCCGGAAGAAGAUCAUUGAGACUGAAAAUAUGAUGGACCGAAUUGUGACUGGCUUGUCUGAGUCUAGUGUCAAGGUGCGGUUAGCUGCCGUCAGAUGUUUGCACAGUUUAUCCAGAUCUGUGCAGCAGCUUCGAACCAGUUUCCAGGAUCAUGCUGUGUGGAAACCUUUAAUGAAGGUUUUACAAAAUGCACCAGAUGAAAUCCUAGUGGUAGCAUCUUCCAUGCUAUGUAAUCUUCUUCUUGAAUUUUCUCCAAGCAAAGAGCCAAUUUUGGAAUCAGGAGCCGUAGAGCUACUUUGUGGAUUAACUCAGAGUGAAAAUCCUGCUUUACGAGUGAAUGGAAUUUGGGCUUUAAUGAAUAUGGCAUUUCAGGCUGAACAAAAAAUAAAAGCAGAUAUUUUACGAAGCUUGAGUACUGAACAGCUAUUCCGGUUAUUAUCAGAUUCAGAUUUGAAUGUGCUGAUGAAGACAUUGGGACUUCUUAGAAAUCUCCUCUCCACUCGUCCUCAUAUAGAUAAAAUAAUGAGUACUCAUGGAAAGCAAAUUAUGCAAGCCGUCACUCUUAUUCUAGAAGGGGAACAUAACAUUGAGGUCAAAGAGCAGACACUGUGCAUCUUAGCCAACAUAGCGGAUGGGACAACAGCAAAAGAUCUUAUUAUGACCAAUGAUGAUAUCCUACAGAAAAUCAAGUAUUACAUGGGCCAUUCACAUGUUAAACUGCAGCUUGCAGCCAUGUUUUGUAUAUCAAACCUCAUAUGGAAUGAAGAGGAAGGUUCACAAGAACGCCAGGAUAAAUUACGAGACAUGGGCAUCGUAGAUAUUCUACACAAACUGAGUCAGUCACCAGAUUCAAACCUUUGUGACAAGGCAAAGAUGGCACUGCAGCAGUACCUGGCGUGAUGGGAGUGCCCCUGGGCACCUGCGAGCAUCCCACCUCCUUGUUUAAGGAAGUAAAGGAACCAGCCUCAUUUGAUUCCUUCUAUUUGCACAAGUCACCUUGGACUGCAGGGAGCUGUUUUGCAAAAGCAGUUUAGUAGGCUUAGAUCUCAAAUUCAUCUUGAGAACAUUUUUUUGAGGUAGUAAUUUCCUCAGAAGACUCUUGUGUUUUGGUUUUUUUUCCUGAGCUACUCGGACUCUUUAUUAGAACAAUCAAUCAUUUUCCUUUGGACCUACAAUUUUUUGCCUAUGCUGCAGCCACUUUGUGAGUGAGAAUGAAUAUGUCUGUGUGAACACACAGGCAUGCGUGUGUAUGUGCACGUACAUGGGCCAGAAUGAAUGGAUGUGUGUGUGUGAGGGAUACCUCAGAUUUUUCUUUUCUUAUUUUGUGUGAAAAUCUCUUUUCUACAGAUUUUCCAGGGUUUAAGCAUUGCUUGCUGUAUAAAAAACUUUACUGAAUUAUAUACAGUUUGAAUGAAAUGUUAUUUUAAAAACAAAACAAUUGUUAAGUGUUCCAUAAAGGUUAUGUUGAAUUUUGGUCAGAUGAAUAUUUGUAAGUAAAAAAUAUAUGCAUUUCUGAACCUCAACUUACAUAGAUUUUCUUUAUAU
rnacentral:sRNA from 1 species